AUGGCCAGGAUGUGCCGGCGGGCGGCCGUGACCCUGCUGGAGUGCGGGGGGGACCUCCAGCCCCCCGGGAGUUCCCUGACUCUGCUCUGCCACGGGUCUGGGUUCAAUUUUGGGAGUUUCAACAUGAUGUGGGCCCGUCAGAGCCCCGGGAAGGCGCUGGAAUUUGUCGCAGAGAUCAGCUACGGUGGUGGCAGAACCUACUACGCGCCAUCGGUCAAGGGCCGGUUCACGAUCUCGAGGGACAACGGGCAGAGCUCGGUGACGCUGACCAUGAACAGCCUCAAGGACGAGGAUUCCGCCGUUUAUUUCUGUGCCAAGGCUGCUGGUGGUUAUGCUGAUUGGGCUGGUGCUUAUGUUCAGGUGUGGGAGGACAAGUCUGACACGAGUUCCUCUGGGAAACAGAUUCCAGCAGAUACAAAUCUUAACUUUGGGCCCAGUACUAAGGACUCAGGUUCAGUCAUCAAGAUCAGAGUCAAGACUUGA